AACGAACGCUGGCGGCAGGCCUAACACAUGCAAGUCGAACGCACCGCAAGGUGGGUGGCGCACGGGUGAGUAACACGUGGGAAUGUACCCUUUGGUUCGGAAUAACGUUUGGAAACGAACGCUAAUACCGGAUGAGCCCUACGGGGGAAAGAUUUAUCGCCAAAGGAGCAGCCCGCGUCUGAUUAGGUAGUUGGUGGGGUAAAGGCCUACCAAGCCGACGAUCAGUAGCUGGUCUGAGAGGAUGAUCAGCCACACUGGGACUGAGACACGGCCCAGACUCCUACGGGAGGCAGCAGUGGGGAAUAUUGGACAAUGGGCGCAAGCCUGAUCCAGCCAUGCCGCGUGAGUGAUGAAGGCCUUCGGGUUGUAAAGCUCUUUCGCACACGACGAUGAUGACGGUAGUGUGAGAAGAAGCCCCGGCUAACUUCGUGCCAGCAGCCGCCGUAAUAC
rnacentral:rRNA from 1 species